ensembl:snRNA
CUAUUAUAUGAAAGAAUAGAAGGUUAGUAUUCUCCUUGAUAAAGAUAAAAGUUUAUUGGCUUUUUU